rnacentral:rRNA from 1 species
CAUUACUGAGAGAGGGACCUCGCGUCCCCGGGGGGCUUCGGCCUUCUAUCUCUUUCACCCGUGCUUAUAAAUCUCUGUUGCUUUGGCGARCGCCGGGGUGUCUUCCCGCACUCGGCCCUGACCCUAGGGUCGGUGCGUUCUCGCCAGAGCCCCCUCAGCAAUCUCUUUAUUUAGKGACGUCCGAGUAUCAUCAAAAUAUAAAUCAAAACUUUCAACAACGGAUCUCUUGGUUCUGGCAUCGAUGAAGAACGCAGCGAAAUGCGAUAAGUAAUGUGAAUUGCAGAAUUCAGUGAAUCAUCGAAUCUUUGAACGCACAUUGCGCCCCUUGGUAUUCCGAGGGGCAUGCCUGUUCGAGCGUCAUUGCAACCCUCAAGCUUUGCUUGGUAUUGAGCUUUUCGCCGGAGACGGCGUGCUCGAAAAUUAGUGGCGGUCCAGGGAGACUUCAAGCGCAGUAAAACUUUCCGCUUUCGAGGUCCUCGCCUGUGACCAGCCGUAAACCCCCCCAACUUUUCAAUGAUUGACCUCGGAUCAGGWUCUAGGGAUACCCGCUGAACUUAAGCAUAU